GACGAACCGUGCGAACGUUGUUCGGAAUCACUGGGCUUAAAGGGCGCGUAGGCGGUCAAUCAAGUCUGGGGUGAAAUCUUUCGGCUUAACCGGAAAAGUGCCUUGGAUACUGAUUGACUCGAGGGAGGUAGGGGCAGCUGGAACUUCCGGUGGAGCGGUGAAAUGCGUUGAUAUCGGAAGGAACGCCGGUGGCGAAAGCGAGCUGCUGGACCUUUUCUAACGCUGAUGCGCGAAAGCUAGGGGAGCAAACGGG
rnacentral:rRNA from 1 species